UACGAAGGGUGCAAGCGUUGUUCGGAAUUACUGGGCGUAAAGCGCGCGUAGGCGGUUUGUUAAGUCAGACGUGAAAGCCCUAGGCUCAACCUAGGAAUAGCGUUUGAAACUGGCAGGCUAGAGAUUCAGAGAGGUGAGUGGAAUUCCUAGUGUAGAGGUGAAAUUCGUAGAUAUUAGGAGGAGCAUCAGUGGCGAAGGCGGCUCGCUGGCGGAAUACUGACGCUAAGGCGCGAAAGCGUGGGGAGCAAACAGG
rnacentral:rRNA from 1 species